rnacentral:rRNA from 1 species
GACAGAGGUGCCAAGCGUUAGGCGGAAUCACUGGGCUUAAAGCGUGUGUAGGCGGGUCGGUAAGUGUCUUGUGAAACCCCCCGGCUCAACCGGGGAAUGGCUGGGCAUACUGGCGAUCUUGAGCAGUUCAGGGGCAGAUGGAACAAGUGGUGGAGCGGUGAAAUGCGUAGAUAUCACUUGGAACGCCAAAGGUGAAAACAGUCUGCUGGGAACUUGCUGACGCUGAGACACGAAAGCCAGGGGAGCGAACGGG